AGUGAACGCUGGCGGUAGGCCUAACACAUGCAAGUCGAACGGCAGCACAGUAAGAGCUUGCUCUUACGGGUGGCGAGUGGCGGACGGGUGAGGAAUACAUCGGAAUCUACUUUUUCGUGGGGGAUAACGUAGGGAAACUUACGCUAAUACCGCAUACGACCUACGGGUGAAAGCAGGGGAUCUUCGGACCUUUCGCGAUUGAAUGAGCCGAUGUCGGAUUAGCUAGUUGGCGGGGUAAAGGCCCACCAAGGCGACGAUCCGUAGCUGGUCUGAGAGGAUGAUCAGCCACACUGGAACUGAGACACGGUCCAGACGCCUACGGGAGGCAGCAGUGGGGAAUAUUGGACAAUGGGCGAAAGCAUGAUCCAGCCAUACCGCGUGGGUGAAGAAGGCCUUCGGGUUGUAAAGCCCUUUUGUUGGGAAAGAAAAGCAGCAGGUUAAUACCCCGCUGUUCUGACGGUACCCAAAGAAUAAGCACCGGCUAACUUCGUG
rnacentral:rRNA from 1 species